rnacentral:sRNA from 1 species
GUUGUUCGCUUUAGUGCCGGCGCCAUGGGGUCGGAGCUGAUCGGGCGCCUGGCCCCGCGCCUGGGCCUCGCCGAGCCCAACAUGCUGAGGUGAGUUCGGCCGCGCAAGACCAGGGCUGGGCUUCCGCCUCGCGGCCCUGGGCCCUCAGGAAAGCAGAGGAGUACUUGCGCCUGUCCCGGGUGAAGUGUGUUGGCCUCUCUGCACGCACCACGGAGACCAGCAGUGCAGUCAUGUGCCUGGACCUUGCAGCUUCCUGGAUGAAGUGCCCCUUGGACAGGGCUUAUUUAAUUAAACUUUCUGGUUUGAACAAGGAGACGUAUCAGAGCUGUCUUAAAUCUUUUGAGUGUUUACUGGGCCUGAAUUCAAAUAUUGGAAUAAGAGACCUAGCUGUACAGUUUAGCUGUACAGAAGCAGUGAACAUGGCUUCAAAGAUACUAAAAAGCUAUGAGUCCAGUCUUCCCCAGACACAGCAAGUAGAUCUUGACUUAUCCAGGCCACUUUUCACUUCUGCUGCACUGCUUUCAGCAUGCAAGAUUCUAAAGCUGAAAGUGGAUAAAAACAAAAUGGUAGCCACAUCCGGUGUGAAAAAAGCUAUAUUUGAUCGACUGUAUAAACAACUAGAGAAGAUUGGACAGCAGGUCGACAGUAAGUAUUCUGUAGUCCAAGAAUGCAUCAUUUGAAAAUGUAGUACUUUUGCUUGUAAAAGUCAAUAUUUUCAAAUAUGUAAACUGGCUGCUUCCUAAAUUCCGUAUUACAUGUGGACCAGGUAUGUUUUUAUUGAUGUUUCUAACCUAUGAUUCCAUGAAUCUGUGCCUGGAAAAUGAUUCUCAAGUCUGACAAGAGGCCAAAAAGAGAGGUCUAAGAUUAUUUUUCUUCUCCUCAUAUUUGAUCAGUUAAGCUGUCUAAUUUUAUUUGUGAUCCAAAACAUGCCCAAAUACUGAAAUUGAGGACAGGAGAAAAAUUAACCUUGAUAACACUUCUUAAAGGAGAACCUGGAGAUGUAGCUACUCCACCACGGAAGAGAAAGAAGAUAGUGGUUGAAACCCCAGCAAAGGGUAAGUUUUACUAAUACGGUACUGACAUGACAUUUUAUGCGGUGAAUAGCCCAGUGCUGCUCUAGCAGCUUGCCUGACAGGAGUCCAGUUUUAAGUAAAUUCUGACUGUGAAUCAUUUGAUAAGACCAGUUUU